GACGAACGCUGGCGGCGUGGAUUAGGCAUGCGAGUCGAGCGAGAACCGUAGCAAUACGGGGACAGCGGCGAAAGGGAGAGGAAUACGUGGGUACCUACCCUCAGACUCAGGAUAGCCAUGGGAAACUAUGGGUAAUCCUGAAUAAUGUCUUCGGACCAAAGGUGUGAGUCCGUCCGAGGAGGGGCCCGCGUCCUAUUAGCUAGUUGGUGAGGUAACGGCUCACCAAGGCGAAGAUGGGUACGGGAUGUGAGCGCAUGAUCCAGCUCAUUGGGACUGAGACACUGCCCAGACACCUACGGGUGGCUGCAGUCGAGAAUCGUCGGGAAUGGGGGAAACCCUGACCGAGCGACGCCGCGUGCGGGAUGAAGGCGUUCGGGUUGUAAAUCGCUGUCAGUGGGGAGGAAGUGCAGGUGGGUUCUCCCAUCUGUUUGACCUACCCGCAGAGGAAGGACGGGCUAAGUUCGUGCCAGCCGCCGCCGUAA
rnacentral:rRNA from 1 species